CUGCACUGCCAAGUGACUAGACUGCCACCCCCAUGGCUUUCAUGUCUUAUUCCAGUGCCAGAAAAACCACAGUUUGCAGAAGAGUUGGGCUAGACCACUGGCUCCCCCCUUUCGAAGACUGAGAACAAAU
ensembl:snoRNA small nucleolar RNA SNORA35